rnacentral:snRNA from 1 species
CUCUCUCUUCCUCUAAAU